rnacentral:rRNA from 1 species
UAUAUAUUUAUUUAUUUUUUUAAUUGGGGUAGCCCCCAAAAUAUUGGGACAUAUAAAAAAAGACAACUCUGUUCCGCAGAGUAGCUGUUGACAUAGUUGCGCAGGCACUUUGUUGACUCUAGACAACCUCGGGCCAAUCGCACAUCCCCGUGGCGGCGACUCUGCAUGCAGAUGUCAUCCAUAUCAACUUUCGAUGCCAGUUUCUGCGCCUACCAAGGUGACCACGGGUAACGGGGAAUCAGGGUUCCAUUCCGUACAGGGACCCUGAGAAACGGCUACCACAUGCAAGGAAGGCAGCAGGAGCACAAAUGACCCACUCCUGAUGCGGGAAGGUAGUGAGA